CAUGUUUUCACAUUGUUUGCGUCUAUUAGAUCACUCUGUGAUUAGAUUUCCGCUCACAAAUAAACUGGUUUGAUCAAUGUAGAUCUGAUCAUGUAUGAUAUCUUCCAUAACUUUUUACAAAGUAAUAAUGUUAUGUUUUCCAAAACUUUGUUUCUGGUGGUUAAAUGGUCAAUAACUUAACAUGCUGUUUAAACUUUUGGUUGCAUCAUAACUUUUAGACAUUAUACAACCAAGUACAAUUUCCAAAUAUCAUAUUACCACAGUUGUCAGUUACAAUACAAUUAUGUAGGUUGUUAUUUUUUAGAUGAAUCUCAGUAUGCUAGCAUAACAAUUAAAACCCCCCCUUUUUUAAACAGAAAAAGUUUUAAAGGAAAAUUCAGAAAGCGUAAAAGUGAAGAUAUGUUACAAGAUACAGCUGAUUUAAACAUUUCUGAGUGUUCCGCACUUUAUAAUGUAAAGCAAAGAAAAAUGUUGCAUCCAAGAAAGCAGUUGCCAGUCUCUUCAUUAAUGAUCACUAGUCCAGCAGUGUUUAAGAGUUCUAGUCCACUUUUGACAGACAGGAAAAAUGAAAAUGUUGUUCAUUCAUCUAUGACUGAUAUCAGUAGAAUAGAAGAAGAAAGUUUAUUAGAACAAAGUG